AUUUUAAUCAAGAAACAACUGCAUGACCAAGUGAUGUUGACAAUGCGACUGCAAGAGGAAAAAAGCAUUUUGGUGUUGGAGAUGCACAACACUGCACACGGUUGCAGAGCCUGGCCGUGGUUCUCAAGAACAAGAUAGCUGAGGAGGACAAGGGAAAUGAGGGACUUUGCUGUCUCUUAAGAAGAAGACUGUCAGAUGUGUCAGAAAGGUUGCGAGUGUCCUCCAACAGUACAAGACUGCUUUAGGCCCUGAGGCCUCUGCCCUUCUACAUGUUGAAGCAGAAGAUCAAAGUGGCCUCAGUAGUCCAGACACCAUUGAGGAUGAAGAAGAAAACACUAUUUAGAUGGAAGCUGCACAAAGGACUGUGUUGAAGGAAAUGGACUUGCCCAGUGUCUGUGUAUUUUCCCAUACUACACUGAUUGAUUAACCACAUCAAAAUCUGAAUGCAUUCUAUAUUGUUGAAUAUAAGCCUGUAUCUGUAGAUUGCCAAGCAAUUUAUUAAGCACAUGAAUGUUUCUUGAAGAUGCAUAAACCUUAGUAAAGGAAAGGAAG